rnacentral:rRNA from 1 species
ACGGGUGAGUAAUAUAUCGGAACGUGCCCUAGAGUGGGGGAUAACUAGUCGAAAGACUAGCUAAUACCGCAUACGAUCUAAGGAUGAAAGUGGGGGAUCGCAAGACCUCAUGCUCCUGGAGCGGCCGAUAUCUGAUUAGCUAGUUGGUGGGGUAAAAGCCUACCAAGGCGACGAUCAGUAGCUGGUCUGAGAGGACGACCAGCCACACUGGGACUGAGACACGGCCCAGACUCCUACGGGAGGCAGCAGUGGGGAAUUUUGGACAAUGGGGGCAACCCUGAUCCAGCAAUGCCGCGUGAGUGAAGAAGGCCUUCGGGUUGUAAAGCUCUUUUGUCAGGGAAGAAACGGUUUUGGCUAAUAUCCAGAACUAAUGACGGUACCUGAAGAAUAAGCACCGGCUAACUACGUGCCAGCAGCCGCGGUAAUACGUAGGGUGCAAGCGUUAAUCGGAAUUACUGGGCGUAAAGCGUGCGCAGGCGGUUGUGUAAGACAGAUGUGAAAUCCCCGGGCUCAACCUGGGAAUUGCAUUUGUGACUGCACGGCUAGAGUGUGUCAGAGGGGGGUAGAAUUCCACGUGUAGCA